UACAGAGGUCCCGAGCGUUGUUCGGAUUCAUUGGGCGUAAAGGGUGCGUAGGUGGCGCUGUAAGUCAGGUGUGAAAUUUCGGAGCUUAACUCCGAAACUGCAUUUGAUACUGCGGUGCUUGAGGACUGGAGAGGAGACUGGAAUUUACGGUGUAGCAGUGAAAUGCGUAGAGAUCGUAAGGAAGACCAGUGGCGAAGGCGGGUCUCUGGACAGUUCCUGACACUGAGGCACGAAGGCCAGGGGAGCAAACGGG
rnacentral:rRNA from 1 species